rnacentral:rRNA from 1 species
CGUAAUACGGAGGGUGCGAGCGUUAAUCGGAAUUACUGGGCGUAAAGCGCAUGCAGGUGGUUUGUUAAGUCAGAUGUGAAAGCCCGGGGCUCAACCUCGGAAUUGCAUUUGAAACUGGCAAACUAGAGUACUGUAGAGGGGGUAGAAUUUCAGGUGUAGCGGUGAAAUGCGUAGAGAUCUGAAGGAAUACCGGUGGCGAAGGCGGCCCCCUGGACAGAUACUGACACUCAGAUGCGAAAGCGUGGGGAGCAAACAGGAUUAGAUACCCUGGUAG